UACGGAGGGUGCAAGCGUUAUCCGGAUUCACUGGGUUUAAAGGGAGCGUAGGUGGGCUGGUAAGUCAGUGGUGAAAUCUCCGAGCUUAACCUGGAAACUGCCAUUGAUACUAUCAGUCUUGAAUACCGUGGAGGUCAGCGGAAUAUGUCAUGUAGCGGUGAAAUGCUUAGAUAUGACAUAGAACACCAAUUGCGAAGGCAGCUGGCUACACGAAUAUUGACACUGAUGCACGAAAGCGUGGGGAUCAAACAGG
rnacentral:rRNA from 1 species